AGAAAGUCUGUUUGGAGAUGAAGCUGGAUAUGAUUUGGGACAGCAAACAGAACAUGGACUAGAAUAUAGUCUAUUGCUUCCAGAUCCUUUCUGAAGAUUCCAAAUUCUCAGAUGCUCAAGCCUUUUGUACAAAAUGGGUGUCAAGAAGAUGAAGAAAUGUCCCGUGGACUCUUCCACCUAUGAACUCCAAUUUAUACCAAGAGAUAAUUACCAGAAUGUACCUGAGCCAAAACAGAGUGUACUUUGCUGGACACAGAUCCUAGUCUGCCCAGAGAUAGCACUACAGGGAUAAGAGAAGGAAGUUUGAAGGGCAAAUUACAAGUGCUAGUUGGCUCUAUCUAUCUAUCUAUCUAUCUAUUUCAGAAAAAUAAAAGCUCUG
rnacentral:lncRNA from 1 species